UACAGAGGGUGCGAGCGUUAAUCGGAAUUACUGGGCGUAAAGCGUGCGUAGACGGCUAUCUAAGUCGGGUGUGAAAGCCCCGGGCUCAACCUGGGAAUUGCAUUCGAGACUGAAUAGCUAGGGUACGGUAGAGGGAAGCGGAAUUUCCGGUGUAGCGGUGAAAUGCGUAGAUAUCGGAAGGAACAUCAGUGGCGAAAGCGACUUCCUGGACCAGUACCGACGUUCAGGCACGAAAGCGUGGGGAGCAAACAGG
rnacentral:rRNA from 1 species